rnacentral:rRNA from 1 species
UACGUAGGGUGCGAGCGUUAAUCGGAAUUACUGGGCGUAAAGUGUGCGCAGGCGGCAGAGCAAGUCGAGUGUGAAAGCCCCGGGCUUAACUUGGGAAUUGCGCUCGAAACUACUUUGCUGGAGUGUGGCAGAGGAAGGUGGAAUUCCACGUGUAGCGGUGAAAUGCAUAGAGAUGUGGAGGAACACCAAUGGCGAAGGCAGCCUUCUGGGCCAACACUGACGCUCAUGCACGAAAGCGUGGGGAGCAAACAGG